rnacentral:misc_RNA from 1 species
GAUGAAGAACGUAGUGAAAUGCGAUAAGGAAUGUGAAUUGCAGAAUUCAGUGAAUCAUCGAAUCUUUGAACGCACAUUGCGCCCCCUGGUAUUCCGGGGGGCAUGCCUGUUCGAGCGUCAUUUCAACCCUCAAGCUCUGCUUGGUAUUGGGCGUCGCCGGGGAGUCUCCCCGGCGUGCCUCAAAGCCAUCGGCGGUGGUGCCUUUCUCUAAGCGUGGUAGAAUUUUUAUUCGCUUCUGAGUUGGGCUUCGCCUGCCGGACAAACCGGGCCCUCGCGGCCCACCUUCUCAGGUUGACCUCGGAUCAGGUAGGGAUACCCGCUGAACUUAAGCAUAUCAAUAAGCGGAGGA